GAACUUGUUCUACUAGUGGCGAACGGGCGAGUAAUACAUAUUUAACUUACUUUUACGAGGAGGAUAGCAGCUCGAAAGGGCUAUUAAUACUCCAUAGGUUUAUAAACUAAAUUAAAGAGGCUCCUCUGGGGCCUUGCGUAAAACUAGGAAUAUGUCCUAUUAGGUAGUUGGCGGGGUAAAGGCCCACCAAGCCAAUGAUGGGUAGCUGGACUGAGAGGUUGAACAGCCGCAAUGGGAUUGAGAUAUGGCCCAUAUUCCUACGGGAAGCAGCAGUGAGGAAUUUUUCACAAUGGACGAAAGUCUGAUGGAGCAAUACCACGUGAACGAUGAAGGUCUUCUGAUUGUAAAGUUCUUUUAUUUAGGAAAAAAAGCGUGCUAGGAAAUGAGCGCGCCUUGAUGGUACUAAUUGAAUAAGUGACAGCUAACUAUGUGCCAGCAGCUGCGGUAAAACAUAGGUCACGAGCAUUAUCCGGAUUUAUUGGGCGUAAAGGAAGCGUAGGCGGGGAGGUUGAUCCAUUGUUAAAAGCAUUUGCUUAACAAAUGUGUGCAUUGGAGAUCGCCUCCCUAGAGUUAAUCAGGGGGUACUGGAAUUCAAUGUGUAGCGGUGGAAUGCGUAGAUAUAUUGAGGAACACCAGAGGCUAAGGCGAGUGCCUAGGAUAUAACUGACGCUGAGGCUUGAAAGCGUGGGGAGCAAAUGGGAUUAGAUACCCCAGUAGUCCACGCCGUAAACGAUGAGCAUUGGGCAUUUGACAUCUGGUCGAGUGCUGUAGCUAACGCGUUAAAUGCUCCGCCUGGGUAGUAUAUAUGCAAAUAUGAAACUCAAAGAAAU
rnacentral:rRNA from 1 species